ensembl:lncRNA
GGACUGAACUGGGACGUCUGUUUCUACCUUCUCUGGCAGGCCUCCUCCAGAUGGUCCACCACCCUACAGGCUGCUGUGGGUCCUACGGGAAGACAGCAGAGCCUGGGAAGAUGCGGAGUGUCUGCAUGGGCAGGGCCCUGGCCACAGAGACUGGGACUUGGGACCUGGUUACCAACUCCAGAGGCCUGAGUCACAGGGGACGUGACACUUAGCCCAUUGCUGCUGGGAGUUCAGCCAUCUCCCUUUCAGGGUCGCUUGGCGCAGAUUCCAUGUUGCACACUGUGUCUAUGUUAGGCGUGCUUUCCCCAGAAGACACAUGUAAAUGCACAGACUUGAAUGGUUAACAAUGCCCUCUGGAGUUGUGCAAAGGGACAUCCGUACUACCACCAACACAGGAAUAUAAACUUCAAAAGUAGAAGAGAGUGACUGCUCGGUGAGCUCAGGGUCUCCUUUGGGAUGAUCAAGAUAUUGUAGAAUGGACGGAGGUGGUGAGGGCACAGCAUGUGCACACAUUAAAUGCCAGUGACUUGUGCACUUUAAAAAGUUUCAUUUUAUAUUUGAAUUUCAUCUCAAUAAAAAAAAAUUUUUUUUAAGUUUUUUUAAGGCACUCGAAAGGAAAGUACAAAUUGCUUUAAAAGAUUUCCCACAAGUCAGCCCUCUCUGACAAUGUGUGCGUUUCCCACAAUGCACCUCUCUCC